CACGAGGAUGAGGAGGACACAAAGGGAUGAGGAGCACGAGGCAAGAGAAGCAAAGGGUCUGCAAAGAGCACGAUGCAAAAAGAGCAUGAAAAAUAAAAAAAAAAAGGGAUUUGCAAAAAGCAAAAAGCAAAGGGUUUGCAAAGAAAUGUGCAAGAAAUGCGAAGAAUUUGGAACGAGCACAAUGCCAAGACCAAGAUGCGAAGGAUUUGCAAAGACCAAGAUGCAAAGACCAAGAGUCAAGGAUUUGAAAUGACCAAAAUACAAAGAUUUACAAAAAACAUGAUCCAAAAAGGACAAAACGAAGGAUUUACAAAUAUCAAGAUGCAAAGACCAAGAUACAAAGAGGACGAAGGAAAAAUUUGCGAAGACCAUGACACAAAUAUUUCCAAAAAACAUGAUCCAAAGAGGAUAAAAUGAAGGAUUUGCAAAGACCAAGACGCAAAGACCAAGAGUCAAGGAUUUGCAAAGACCAAGAUUCAAAAAUUUACAAAAAAACAUGAUCCAAAGAGGACAAAGCAAAGGAUUUACAAAGAUCAUGAUGGAAAGACCAAGAAGCAAAGAGGAUGAAGGAAAAAUUUGCAAAGACCAUGACACAAAGAUUUCCAAAAACCAUGAUCCAAAGAGGAUGAAGCAAAGGAUUUACAAAGACCAAGACACAAAGACCAAGAAGCAAAGAGGAUGAAGGAAAAAUUUGCAAAGACCAAGAUGCAAAAACCACGACACAAAGAUUUCCAAAAAACAUGAUCCAAAGAGGACGAAACGAAGGAUUUACAAAGACCAAGAUGCAAAGACCAAGAGUCAAGGAUUUGAAAUGACCAAAAUGCAAAGAUUUCCAAAAAAACAUGAUCCAAAAAGGACGAAACGAAGGAUUUACAAAGACCAAGAUGCACGCAGCCGCCGCCUGCACCGCCGCGCGCCCCCCACCCCGCCCAGCCCGGACAAAAAAUGAGCUUUUGGUCAGUUUUCCAACAAAAAUCCAUCGUUUUGCUUUAUUUCCGUCGGUUCUCCCUCGGGGAGAGGGGAGGGGGGGUCACAGGUUUUGCACCGCGGAUACAAAUCCCGAAGGGGGGAGGUUGACAAGUUUUGGGAUGCAGAAACAGAGUUUUUUGGGGGGGAUUUGGGGUACAUUUUGCAUCGAAGAAUCACAUUUGGGUGGAAUUUGGACACUUUUCCCACUGCAAAAACCAACUUGGAGGGGAUUUAAAAAUGUUUAA
rnacentral:lncRNA from 1 species